CUCUCGGGUGACGAGCGGCGGACGGGUGAGUAAUGUCUGGGAAACUGCCUGAUGGAGGGGGAUAACUACUGGAAACGGUAGCUAAUACCGCAUAAUGUCGCAAGACCAAAGUGGGGGACCUUCGGGCCUCAUGCCAUCAGAUGUGCCCAGAUGGGAUUAGCUAGUAGGUGGGGUAACGGCUCACCUAGGCGACGAUCCCUAGCUGGUCUGAGAGGAUGACCAGCCACACUGGAACUGAGACACGGUCCAGACUCCUACGGGAGGCAGCAGUGGGGAAUAUUGCACAAUGGGCGCAAGCCUGAUGCAGCCAUGCCGCGUGUGUGAAGAAGGCCUUCGGGUUGUAAAGCACUUUCAGCGGGGAGGAAGGCGUUAAGGUUAAUAACCUUGGCGAUUGACGUUACCCGCAGAAGAAGCACCGGCUAACUCCGUGCCAGCAGCCGCGGUAAUACGGAGGGUGCAAGCGUUAAUCGGAAUUACUGGGCGUAAAGCGCACGCAGGCGGUCUGUCAAGUCGGAUGUGAAAUCCCCGGGCUCAACCUGGGAACUGCAUUCGAAACUGGCAGGCUAGAGUCUUGUAGAGGGGGGUAGAAUUCCAGGUGUAGCGGUGAAAUGCGUAGAGAUCUGGAGGAAUACCGGUGGCGAAGGCGGCCCCCUGGACAAAGACUGACGCUCAGGUGCGAAAGCGUGGGGAGCAAACAGGAUUAGAUACCCUGGUAGUCCACGCCGUAAACGAUGUCGAUUUGGAGGUUGUGCCCUUGAGGCGUGGCUUCCGGAGCUAACGCGUUAAAUCGACCGCCUGGGGAGUACGGCCGCAAGGUUAAAACUCAAAUGAAUUGACGGGGGCCCGCACAAGCGGUGGAGCAUGUGGUUUAAUUCGAUGCAACGCGAAGAACCUUACCUGGUCUUGACAUCCACAGAACUUUCCAGAGAUGGAUUGGUGCCUUCGGGAACUGUGAGACAGGUGCUGCAUGGCUGUCGUCAGCUCGUGUUGUGAAAUGUUGGGUUAAGUCCCGCAACGAGCGCAACCCUUAUCCUUUGUUGCCAGCGGUCCGGCCGGGAACUCAAAGGAGACUGCCAGUGAUAAACUGGAGGAAGGUGGGGAUGACGUCAAGUCAUCAUGGCCCUUACGACCAGGGCUACACACGGGGUACAAUGGCAUAUACAAAGAGAAGCGACCUCGCGAGAGCAAGCGGACCUCAUAAAGUAUGUCGUAGUCCGGAUUGGAGUCUGCAACUCGACUCCAUGAAGUCGGAAUCGCUAGUAAUCGUAGAUCA
rnacentral:rRNA from 1 species